UACGUAGGGCGCAAGCGUUAUCCGGAAUUAUUGGGCGUAAAGAGCUCGUAGGCGGUUUGUCGCGUCUGCCGUGAAAAGUCCCGGGGCUCAACUCCGGAUCUGCGGUGGGUACGGGCAGACUAGAGUGAUGUAGGGGAGACUGGAAUUCCUGGUGUAGCGGUGAAAUGCGCAGAUAUCAGGAGGAACACCGAUGGCGGAGGCAGGUCUCUGGGCAUUAACUGACGCUGAGGAGCGAAAGCAUGGGGGAGCGAACAGG
rnacentral:rRNA from 1 species